UACGAAGGGUGCAAGCGUUACUCGGAAUUACUGGGCGUAAAGGGUGCGUAGGUGGUUUGUUAAGUCUGCUGUGAAAUCCCCGGGCUCAACCUGGGAAUGGCAGUGGAUACUGGCAAGCUAGAGUGCGGUAGGGGGUAGUGGAAUUCCCGGUGUAGCAGUGAAAUGCGUAGAGAUCGGGAGGAACACCAGUGGCGAAGGCGGCUACCUGGACCAGCACUGACACUGAAGCACGAAAGCGUGGGGAGCAAACAGG
rnacentral:rRNA from 1 species